AAUCAACGCUGGCGGCGUGCCUAACACAUGCAAGUCGAACGCGAAAGUGGAGCAAUCCAUGAGUAGAGUGGCAAACGGGUGAGUAACACGUGGGUGACCUGCCUUCGAGUGGGGGAUAACGUUUCGAAAGGAACGCUAAUACCGCAUAACAUGCUGUCUUUUAACAGAUGGACAUCAAAGCCGGGGACCGCAAGGCCUGGCGCUUGAAGAGGGGCCCGCGCCUGAUUAGCUAGUUGGUGGGGUAAUGGCUCACCAAGGCAACGAUACGGAGUAGUCGGCCUGAGAGGGCGACGGACACACUGGACUGAGACACGG
rnacentral:rRNA from 1 species